AAUGAAUGGAACGACAGUGACAGAGAAAAAUAAGUUAACUUCUGAAGACUCAUCCAGUACUGGAGGGGCUGUGGUGUGCAACACCAGCCAUUUGAGGACCUUCCCAGGACGCAAGAGAUAAAGGCACGACAUCGGUGGGUCAUUGGAUCCCUAAAGAAAACACAAAACAAUUUGC
rnacentral:lncRNA from 8 species